CGUACAGAAAAAACAAUCCCAUCUGAUCAACUGAAAUUAAUGAUAAAUAAAUAGAAUAUAUAUUUGCCCAGGUGUUUAUUGGACUAUGAUAAGGUAUAUAUUUUUGAAAGAAUCGAAAGCCAUCCACUUCCUUUGACCUGGGUCGACCGCAUGCCAUAAAGACUGACGUGUUCGAGAACACUAUGGACCAUUCAGGUCCGUCUUAUUAGGGUGGCCUUCUCAUGUGACCUUUUUGUAAUGCAAGUAUGCGCUUUAAAUAAUUGCUAUUCGAGUCACAUAUUUUAGUCGUCUGUUAGACUGAACGCAAACAUUCCUGACGUUUUGUCAACGUCUACCAUUCUAAUGCGAUUUGGAUUACAAAGCAAAGAUCAUUUUGAAUUGAAUAGAAUACAUUCUUAUGAUCAAAAUUAUUGGAAUUUUUGCAAACUGUUAAUCUUCGAUUUAUAAAAAUAAAUUCGAAAUAUGAGAGACUGUGAUAUCGUAAAAUUAAUAUGCAUGUAUGCAUAUAUGCAAGUAUACGUUUAUAUAUAUUGUAUAAUAUCUGUAUUAUACUCCGUUCAAUAUGGGUGUUAACGUAAUAAUGUAGAAAGAUUGGAUUAAAGGUAUCUACGCAGUAAGUAAUACGACCCUGAGGGUCCCGAAAGAUUCCCCUCCAGGGCAAGCUUGAUGGAAUGCAGGUGAGCAAGCAGACUUCGAUGCAUGGAGACAGGUUCAGGGAACGUGUACAACGUUGUUGGGACCUAUGGCCCGUUCCAAAGAUAUUGGAUAUAUUCAAGAAAGGAGAGGACCCCAUGUGUACCUGCUGCUUGCAAAAUUACUUUCAACACUUACUACCAUUUUCUCUUUCGCGUUUUAUCAUAAUAUCUAGUAUGAAAUACUUUUACUUUCAAAUUAAUGCAUACUUCAUUUAUUUUUAAAUAUUAUAAUUAAAGUAAUAUUCAAUUGUUUAACUCGUUAGUAUUAGAGGUGUAAUAGAAGGGAUUCUUGAAAUCAACUGAAGUUCCAUGUCCGUCCGAUAGCAUAGGAAAUUGUCUGGUGAUUCAAUUUCCUUUUCUAUUUCCGAAUCGAUUUGCAAUGGUGGUACGGCUUAAAACAUCUUGAUCUACGAUAUAGAUAAAGCAACUACUAAUACGUAUACCUGUUGAAAAAAAUAGUAUGAAUUUGAAAAGAAGAAUAAAAAGGUGUAUGUGUGCACGUUACACUAUGUGAUCCCCAAAAAAGGUAUGGAAAAUGAUGUUACGUUUAUACAAUAAUAAUACCUAGAUGCAUACAUUUAUGUUAUAGUAUGUACUCGUCCAACUGCAUCCAUAACCGUUGCAAUCACAUGCUCAUGUUAGAGUAAAAGGUAGUGGUAAUAGAUGUCAGGGCCAAAUCUCAAAGCCCCCCACGAUCUCAAUUAGACCAAAUCGCGAACGAUUAAGCGCGAUUACUCUCGCGAACCUUUCAAUUUUUUUUUCUUCUUCCAUUUGCAGUCUGUAAACGCCAGUACUCCCGCUGCUAUUAUUAACAUUCUAUUCUCUUGCAUAAAGUAUAUAUACCUUUUUCUCUCUCAAUAAUAUUUCAUAGAAUAUCUGUGGGAAUGAUGCGGUUAAUUUGGGCUAUGUGUAUUUGUUAUUUCAAGUCACCCUAUAUAAGACAUAUAUGCGUCAUUAUAUUUUUCGAAGAAUUGCUUUCAAGAAGAAGUUUCGAAAUUCAUCGAGAAGUCUACGUGAAGUAUACCACAACUCGACCCGGAUCAUUCCUUUUAAGGAGUCAAGUUUGCGAAGGCGGGUACUAGACUAUAAUGCAAUUGUGGGACCCUACAAUUUGUUUGAAUACAUCGUACGAAAUAUAAGUAUAAAUAAAAAAAUGAUAUGUCUAUUAAAAGUAGUAGAAGCUUGUAAAACGUCUUAGAUAAAAUAAAUGAUAGGCCAUUUCGUUUUAGGUUGAAGAAGAGGAGGAGGAGGAAAAGGAAACAACACGUCACGCGAACGAAGGAGUUCUUGCGGCCUUUCUUGCACACUUUUAUGACGAGCUCGGACUUGUUACGGCCCUGGGGGGGGUUUCUCCGUUGCUAUACCGUGCUACUACUACUCUACACGUUAGCGUAAAAAAGAAAGGAAAAAGUUGUGGGUGAACGGUGGAUCUCUCGACGCGGUGUUACGCAGACGAGGAGAGAAUAUCCUGCGUAGUACAACAGCGUUACUUCGACGAAGAAACGAAAGGAAGAGAAAGGGAAAGAUUGAGAGAGAGAGAGAGAGAGAGAGAGAGAGAACAGGGCACUGCACGCGAGGCGGAGCCGCAGGUCACGCUAAUUACAAAUAAUAAUAAUUAAAUCGAUGGAGAUAAUAAAUGUUGGCCGUUGAAUUCGAGGUCAGUAUCAUAACGAGGAAGCAUGAUAAAUAUGAAGAAAGAAAUAAACAAAAUGAAAAACAUGAUAAUCUAAUUAUAUCAAUGUAAUAUACUUCAAAAAUGUAACCCCAAACGGAAACCACAAGUUUCAGGAUCAUUUCUUUUUGUUCUGUAACCUUGAAUAUUAAUUCAAACGUCUAGAAGAUUAUCUUAUAAUGGCGUAAUAGAUUUGUUAGGACCAUUAGAAAAAAAUCUGACGAUUCUUGGUCUCACGUUAAAAAGGCAAACGUAAGGAAAAAUAAUAGAAAGAGAAAUAAUAUCGGAACGUAGCCUUUAAAGAGUCAAAGCGAGCCCUCUUACGGGGGGAACAGGUUCUCGGCAUGGAUACCACCGUGUAUUCACCGAGCUGAAAACCUUGGCCAACGAGCAAACGAACCGUAGAAAGAGAGAAGGAGUUGCUGUGCCAUCUCUUUUUCUCUUCCUAUAUAUACUGCUAGGAUGUCUGCUGCUGCCAUGGCUGCGGUCUUUCCGCAUGGUCAUACGAUACAAUACAAGUCGAGAAUCCUAAAGCAAACUCAUAUAAAGAGUUAAGCUUCUUCAAUCGAAAAUUCGUGGUAAUGCGAGAACUUUUGUUAAUUCAUCGUUACAUUCUAUGCUUUAUUUUUUUUUUUUUUUCUACAAG